AUGUUCUAUAAGGGAGGUUGCUUCAACCAUCUUCUUGAGGAGAUGAAUCUAAAUCAAUUUAUCAAGUAAGCCGUUAUAUCUUGUCUAUUCUCGAUUCAAAUUAUUGAAUGUGGUUGCCUAUAUAAUUAUCGCGUACCUUAUUUUGUAUUUAAAUUACUGAAUGUGGUUCAAGUAGGGAGAGUUCAAUUAAAAAAUUAAGUUUUUGCAUACUAGUGUGAAUGUAUGUUCAUAAUCAAGGUGUUUUGAUAUUGGAACGCCCCGCGUCAAGAGGGUUUCUCAUUAAGCC
rnacentral:lncRNA from 1 species